CUCACUCAGAAAACUCAAUUCAGAGUGUUGAUGCAAAGAAGGAAGAAAUGUUUUCUUCAGAUGUCUUCUCUCCCCUUUCCCUUGAAAAGUCUGCAUGAUAAAGCCAAACAAAUGCUGUAAUUGACCUACCUCCAGCCACAUUUUGGUAUUACCAUUGGUUGCCUUUGAUGUACAGCAGAUUCAUCUGGAAAGAUAAUGAGAAACACCUCUGUGGAAAGACUUGUGGAUUUCUUUGAGCAUCACUCUCCAAGACAUUAUCUUUGCACAUUUUUAAUGCUUAACCACCAAUAGCUUUGUAUUCCUUGCCCCUAAACAUCCUCAGAAUAGGUCUCUUAUACUGCUCUAAGGGGUUCUUUAUAAUAACUAUAAAAGUAGUAGAAAAAGAAAAUGGAUGCUGUAUUAUGUUGGUAUGCAUUUAAUCGGAGAAUGCAUAGGUGCUUUCAGAGGCAUAAGUAAUAAACAAACAUCGUACAAAUGA